rnacentral:rRNA from 1 species
AUUGAACGCUGGCGGCAGGCCUAACACAUGCAAGUCGAACGAGUGGCGGACGGGUGAGUAAUGUCUGGUAAACUGCCCGAUGGAGGGGGGUAACUACUGGAAACGGUAUCUAAUACCGCAUACCCUCGGAUGAGCCCAGAUGGGAUUAGCUGGUGGGUGGGGUAACGGCUCACCUAGGCGACGAUCCCUAGCUGGUCGGAGAGGAUGACCGGCAACAUUGGACCUGGGACAGGGUCCAGACUCCUACGGGAGGAACCAGUGGGGAAUAUUGCACAAUGGGCGCAAGCCUGAUGCAGCCAUGCCGGGUGGAGGAAGCAGGCCUCCGGGUUGUAAAGUACUUUCAGCGAGGAGGCGUUACCCGCAGAAGAAGCACCGGCUAACUCCGUGCCAGCAGCCGCGGUAAUAC